rnacentral:rRNA from 1 species
AAAUUGAAGAGUUUGAUCAUGGCUCAGAUUGAACGCUGGCGGCAGGCCUUACACAUGCAAGUCGAGCGGAAACGAGUUAUCUGAACCUUCGGGGGACGAUAGCGGCGUCGAGCGGCGGACGGGUGAGUAAUGCCUAGGAAAUUGCCCUGAUGUGGGGGAUAACCAUUGGAAACGAUGGCUAAUACCGCAUGAUGCCUACGGGCCAAAGAGGGGGACCUUCG